UUGAACGCUGGCGGAAUGCUUUACACAUGCAAGUCGAACGGCAGCACGGGGGCAACCCUGGUGGCGAGUGGCGAACGGGUGAGUAAUACAUCGGAACGUGCCCAGUCGUGGGGGAUAACGUACGCGAAAGCGUAGCUAAUACCGCAUACGAUCUACGGAUGAAAGCGGGGGAUCGCAAGACCUCGCGCGAUUGGAGCGGCCGAUGGCAGAUUAGGUAGUUGGUGGGGUAAAGGCUCACCAAGCCGACGAUCUGUAGCUGGUCUGAGAGGACGACCAGCCACACUGGGACUGAGACACGGCCCAGACUCCUACGGGAGGCAGCAGUGGGGAAUUUUGGACAAUGGGCGCAAGCCUGAUCCAGCCAUUCCGCGUGCAGGAUGAAGGCCCUCGGG
rnacentral:rRNA from 1 species